GUGGGGAAUAUUGGACAAUGGGCGAAAGCCUGAUCCAGCCAUGCCGCGUGUGUGAAGAAGGUCUUCGGAUUGUAAAGCACUUUAAGUUGGGAGGAAGGGCAGUAAGUUAAUACCUUGCUGUUUUGACGUUACCGACAGAAUAAGCACCGGCUAACUCUGUGCCAGCAGCCGCGGUAAUACAGAGGGUGCAAGCGUUAAUCGGAAUUACUGGGCGUAAAGCGCGCGUAGGUGGUUCGUUAAGUUGGAUGUGAAAGCCCCGGGCUCAACCUGGGAACUGCAUCCAAAACUGGCGAGCUAGAGUACGGUAGAGGGUGGUGGAAUUUCCUGUGUAGCGGUGAAAUGUGUAGAUAUAGGAAGGAACACCAGUGGCGAAGGCGACCACCUGGACUGAUACUGACACUGAGGUGCGAAAGCGUGGGGAGCAAACAGGAUUAGAAACCCUGGUAGUCC
rnacentral:rRNA from 1 species